GGGUGGUUAGCUCAGUUGGUAGAGCAACGGACUCUUAAUCCGUGGGUCUAGGGUUCGAGCCCCUAACCACCCA
rnacentral:tRNA from 4 species